rnacentral:rRNA from 1 species
AUUGAACGCUGGCGGCAGGCCUAACACAUGCAAGUCGAGCGACUGGCGGACGGGUGAGUAAUAUAUGGGUAUCUGCCCGAUGGAGGGAGAUAACUACUGGGAGCGGUAGCUAAUACUACAUCCUGUCGGAUGAACCCAUAUGGGAUUAGCUCGUAGGUGGGUUAAUGGCCCACCUAGGCGACGAUCCCUAGCUGGUCUGAGAGGAUGAUCAGCCACACUGGGACUGAGACACGGCCCAGACUCCUACGGGAGGCAGCAGUGGGGAAUAUUGCACAAUGGGCGCAAGCCUGAUGCAGCCAUGCCGCGUGUAUGAAGAAGGCCCUAGGGUUGUAAAGUACUUUCAGUUGGGAGGCGUUACCGACAGAAUAAGCACCGGCUAACUCCGUGCCAGCAGCCGCGGUAAUAC